rnacentral:rRNA from 1 species
GAUGAACGCUGGCGGCGUGCCUAAUACAUGCAAGCCGAGCGAACGGACGAGAAGCUUGCUUCUCUGAUGUUAGCGGCGGACGGGUGAGUAACACGUGGAUAACCUACCUAUAAGACUGGGAUAACUUCGGGAAACCGGAGCUAAUACCGGAUAAUAUUUUGAACCGCAUGGUUCAAAAGUGAAAGACGGUCUUGCUGUCACUUAUAGAUGGAUCCGCGCUGCAUUAGCUAGUUGGUAAGGUAACGGCUUACCAAGGCAACGAUGCAUAGCCGACCUGAGAGGGUGAUCGGCCACCCUGGACCUGAGACACGGUCCAGACUCCUACGGGAGGCAGCAGUAGGGAAUCUUCCGCAAUGGGCGAAAGCCUGACGGAGCAACGCCGCGUGAGUGAUGAAGGUCUUCGGAUCGUAAAACUCUGUUAUUAGGGAAGAACAUAUGUGUAAGUAACUGUGCACAUCUUGACGGUACCUAAUCAGAAAGCCACGGCUAACUACGU